UCUGGCAGAGGAGUUGCUUAACAAAAAGGUAUCUUUCCUUAAUGUUAGCCUAACAUCCUAUUUCAGCUGACUUAUGAAGGUCAGCCCCUAAGAUAGCCUACCCUCGAGUAGUGAGGGAAAAGGGCCCAAGGCAAAGAUCGGCUGGAUUUUAAAAAACCACACGGGCUACCAGAUGGUCAAAAUGCCUUGUGUUAACUCGCCAAAGCGAAGUUGCCGAAAAAUAAGAAGAUAGGACAGUCAGAAGGAUAGCAAUGUAUGUAGUGUGUUAAGUGUGUGGGCCAGUGUUGUUGUAUGGGUGAGGGGAGGAUGGGGAAGGAUGGGGGGAUGGGGAUGAGAGGGGUGAACAAGCAAGCAAGUCACCGCCUUACCCUCUUGAUGGGAUGGGGCUCGAAGUGACUGCAAGCAAGUCUCCUCUCAGCUCUGGUGAAGAACUACUCAGGAUAACCCAAGUAAAUUCUCGAGCAACAGUGUUCAGAGUUGCUCAGCUGACGAGCGGGAACGACGACGUCUUCUCUCCACGGUGGCUGGGCUGCAACCAUGUGCUCCAGCGCGACUUGCUUCAUAAAACAGUAUCACAGGUAUUUUUUUCCUUUUUUUUUUGGUGUAUUUUUGAGCGAGAUAUUCUAAAUAGUAACUGGCAACCACCAGGUUAGUUGUGAGAAGGAGCUGCUCACACCAUCUCCAGUCAGUGCCGACUGGAAGUCUGAAGAGAGAAUGGGUGUGUCACUGUCUGACAGCUGACUACCCUUGGGACAUUACUUUUUGCCUUUCAUUGUAUACAUUUUUGUUACACAAUGCCUGCAAAGAAGAAACAGUUUCCCAAGAACAUUAGCAGGAAGAGGAGAAGGAACAUAGAAGCAAUGAUAAGGGCUAAACAAGCAAAGAGAGCAGCUGCUGUGGUUGGUGACGCCGCCACCAUGCUAGUACCACCACCCUCUACUCAAGACCUGUCCUUGUUCACUGCUACUGAACUAUUGGAUAUUUCAUGUUCAGAAACAAGGAAGACAAAAUAUAGGAGCCCCGCAAAUAUGCCCACCUCCACCACGGCUGCUACUACCACAACUACUACCUCCACUGCUGCUACUACCACUUCCAACUGGAACCUGCAUACAUGGAGGAGGUGCAUAAUGGCUACAAAGACCUAACAUCAGAUGAAAUGAUGCAGCGUUGUGUAAAAGGCAGAACGCAAAACUCUAAUGAAAGUCUGCAUCACCGCAUAUGGUCUUAAAGCAAUAAAGCCAAAUAUCAAACCAAGAGGCAUGCUGAUUUCGCAGUCAGCCAUGCUGUUGCUGACUACAAUAGUGGAUAUGUGAGGAGCUGUCUGGACAUAGCACUGGGCUACAGACGUUCAGCAGUGACUCAAGCACAACUUGAAUUAAUGGAGAAGCACAUGAAGAAAAAACGGAACCGAAGUGGAAAGAAGAGGAAAAGGGAGCUGGACACGUCCUACGAGCCUGGAGGACAUUAGAUAAUCCUGUGUCCACCUACAUCCAGUCAAAGAUUGAUUGGGAUGGAUUUUUAUGAUUGGCCGGCCACCAGAGAACUUCAGGAUAAAGGGAUCUUCAUGGAACUUCAGGAAUAAUGUCUAUAUAACCAGUUCUACUCUCAAUAAACGUAUAAAGGCA